rnacentral:rRNA from 1 species
UUGGGCUUGUAAAAUCUGAUGAAAUUUUCUUGGGCGUUGCAUCAGGUAUAGGCAAUCCUGUAAUGUAUGUAGGAAGUAAAACUGGUCGUGAUGGGCUAGGUGGAGCAGUGAUGAGUAGUGAUAGCUUCACAGAAGAGUCCAAAUCACUCAGACCAACAGUACAAGUAGGAGAUCCAUUUACAGAAAAGCUACUGCUUGAGGCUUGUUUGGAACUGUUUCAGCACGAUUAUAUAGUGGGUAUCCAAGAUAUGGGUGCUGCUGGACUUACAAGCUCUAGUUUUGAGAUGGCAGGUAAGACUGGUGCGGGACUUAGAAUGGAUUUGGACAAAGUACCUGCUCGUGAAGAAGGUAUGACACCUUAUGAUUUUAUGCUAAGUGAAUCUCAAGAGAGAAUGCUUAUAUGUGCAAAACAAGGUUGUGAAGAUAAAAUCAUAGAGAUUUUUGAAAAGUGGGGAUUGGAUGUAGCAGUUAUCGGUGAAGUGACAGAUACUGGUAGGAUGGAGCUUUAUUGGUACGGACAGAAGUGUGCAGAUAUGCCAAUAGCACCAGUAAGUGAAGAAGCGCCAAUCCUUGAUAGACCGACAUCAAGACCAGCAUAUCUUGAUGAAGUCAACUCCAGGCUAGGGCUGCUUACCGCGGUACCAAACCUUAUCAAACUCCGAAUACUUCAGGGGAAUCCAUGGCAGUCAGGCGUAGGGUGAUAAAAUCCUAUGUCGAGAGGGGAACAACCCAGACUAACAGCUAAGGUCCCAAAGUUUUAUCUAAGUGGAAAAGGAUGUGGAGUUGCUGUGACAACCAGGAGGUUGGCUUAGAAGCAGCCAUCCUUUAAAGAAAGCGUAACAGCUCACUGGUCUAGCGAUUCUGCGCCGAAAAUAUAACGGGGCUAAGAUAAACACCGAAGCUUUAGGUUAGACUACAUCAUUAAGUUUUUAAGACAAGAAGAAGUAUAUGGGUUAUAUUUAAAACUUUACGAAGUAAAUGUUUUAAAAUAGUCCAUAGGCUAAGAGAGAGUCAAGAAGAUUUAAUGAUGUAGUCUAGCGGUAGGAGAGCGUUCCAUUCAGCGCUGAAGGUAUACCGGUAAGGAGUACUGGAGCGGAUGGAAGUGAGCAUGCAGGCAUGAGUAGCGAGAAAAGAAGUGAGAAUCUUCUUCGCCGUAAACCCAAGGUUUCCUACGCGAUGCUCGUCAUCGUAGGGUUAGUCGGGACCUAAGUCGAGUCCGAAAGGGGUAGACGAUGGCAAAUCGGUUAAUAUUCCGAUACCGACAUUACAUCGCUUGAGUGAUGGGGGGACGCAUAGAGUUAGACGAGGUCACUGAUGGAAUAGUGGCUCGAAGGAAGUAGGUCGUAAAGUAGGCAAAUCCGCUUUACACUAGACCGAGAUCUUACAGGCUAAAUAAUCUCUUCGGAGAGCAUUUAGAAUCGUUGAUACUGUCGUGCCGAGAAAAGCCUCUAAACGAGAUGUAAUGUUGCCCGUACCGUAAACCAACACAGGUGGGUGAGAUGAGUAUUCUAAGGCGCGUGGAUGAACCAUUGUUAAGGAACUCUGCAAACUAGCACCGUAUCUUCGGUAUAAGGUGUGCCCUAUUUGUUAGGAGAUUUACUCUCCAAAGCAAUGACGGGUCGCAGCAAAGUGUCCCUCCCGACUGUUUACCAAAAACACAGCACUCUGCUAACUCGUAAGAGGAUGUAUAGGGUGUGACGCCUGCCCGGUGCUUGAAUGUUAAAAGGAUUGCUUAGCUUUGCGAAGGCAUGAAUUGAAGCACAAGUAAACGGCGGCCGUAACUAUAACGGUCCUAAGGUAGCGAAAUUCCUUGUCG